CCUACGGGAGGCAGCAGUGAGGAAUAUUGGUCAAUGGACGAGAGUCUGAACCAGCCAAGUAGCGUGAAGGAUGACUGCCCUAUGGGUUGUAAACUUCUUUUAUAUGGGAAUAAAAUGUUCCACGUGUGGGCUUUUGUAUGUACCAUAUGAAUAAGGAUCGGCUAACUCCGUGCCAGCAGCCGCGGUAAUACGGAGGAUCCGAGCGUUAUCCGGAUUUAUUGGGUUUAAAGGGAGCGUAGGUGGAUUGUUAAGUCAGUUGUGAAAGUUUGCGGCUCAACCGUAAAAUUGCAGUUGAAACUGGCAGUCUUGAGUACAGUAGAGGUGGGUGGAAUUCGUGGUGUAGCGGUGAAAUGCUUAGAUAUCACGAAGAACUCCGAUUGCGAAGGCAGCUCACUGGACUGCAACUGACACUGAGGCUCGAAAGUGUGGGUAUCAAACAGGAUUAGAUACCCGAGUAGUC
rnacentral:rRNA from 1 species